rnacentral:rRNA from 1 species
AAUUUUGGAUAAUGGGGGAAACCCUGAUCCAGCCAUCCCGCGUGCAUGAUGAAGGCCUGCGGGCUGUAAAGAACUCUUGGCUGAGAAGAAAAGGUAUCUCCUAAUACGGGAUACUGCUGACUGUAUGUGCCGAAUAAGCACCGCCUAACUACGUGCCAGCAGCCGCGGUAAUACGUAGGGUGCAAGCGUUAAUCGGAAUUACUGGGCGUAAAGCGUGUGUAGGCGGUUCGGAAAGAAAGAUGUGAAAUCCCAGGGCUCAACCGUGGAACUGCAUUUUUAACUGCCGAGCUAGAGUAUGUCAGAGGGGGGUAGAAUUCCACGUGUAGCAGUGAAAUGCGUAGAUAUGUGGAGGAAUACCGAUGGCGAAGGCAGCCCCCUGGGAUAAUACUGACGCUCAGACACGAAAGCGUGGGGAGCAAACAGG